GCCUCCGGCCACGCCACCCUGUCUGAUCCUGGAAGCUAGGCAGGGUCGGGCCUGAUUAGUACUUGGAUGGGAGACCACCUAGGAAGACCAGGUGCUGUAGGCG
rnacentral:rRNA from 1 species